AAAGGGGGAAAAGAAAAGCUGUCCGUUGAGUUUCCCCCCGACGAAGUAGUCCGCUUGUGUCAGACGAGGAGCCACAUGGACUCGCCGCGAUGCGCACACCAACAGUUGAAAGACUUCCUCGAAGUUUCCGUGGCGCGCUGAUUUUAACGCACCGCAGCUCGCUCCAGACGCCAAAAUGCCACCAGACUGAGGUGUGCGGAUGUCUAAAGGUUCAGGUAGGGCAGGUAGACGCACGUCCGAGCGUCUCAUCUGAGUAACCAAUCCAAAGACCGAGGCUGGUGACGUCCACUGAGGCUGGAUGCGGCUGACAGCGACGCACGAGAGCGCAAUGUGACUUCUGAAUUGUUUCACAGGCAUAUGGAAAUUAGCGACGCACCCCCCCCCUUCCCAUUGACUGACACAUUCCCCGACCAAUCACAAGGAGCCAAAGGGGGGGCGGAUUGGAACUGAUGUGUCCCCGCUCGGCAGCUGUCUCCGUGUUGCGCAAUGACGCAACUCGGAGUUGCUUAUUGCUUAGUUACGUGUUCUGUAAGUCACUGCAGUUCAGCUUCCUUUGCUGGUUUGAAAACAGAUAUGAAAUACUUGAAACAUAAUGAAGCAGAAUGUUGGCAUAAGAAAAGCAUAUUUUACUCAAUCUGCAGUACUCUCUUUAUGACACUACACCAUUAUGAGUGUGUACAUACGAGAUUGGACUAUGAUUAAUGAUGAUGACUUAGAAUACAAUAUACAGUCUGAACACUCCUUCCCUCAUUUACAGCAAGGCUCUGUUGGACAAUGCAGCCAUUAACUGUCAAAGCCCAUCAAACAUUUAUUUCCCCAGACUUACCUUUUGUGUGGAUGAGUCCGUGCUCACUUGUGUUUGCAGGUGUCAAAUUGUGUACGUGGGUGGCCGUUUCUUCAAAAGUCAAAAGGUCAUUUCUUGUUUGUUGAAGCGGUGUUUGUGUGCUUAUGUGUGUGUGUGUGUGGACGGUGGGCACAGCUGGGGGCUGAUUGUGUGCCACACACACCGAAGACCAAGAGAAGCCCCCCCACCCCUCUCAACCUCCCACCCACCCUCCCUAAAAAAACAAGGUUUGUCCCCCUUUUCUGCUGCACAAGUGAGCAAGAGCAAAGCCGACAGUUCUUCCCCCACAAUGACAGAUCAUAUUCUCUUCAGAACCAGUCAUGUGCGACGGCAACACUUUGCACAAAGUCGGCUCCCGGCUCUCCGCAUCUUAGAAGAAUUACCGGUAAGUAAGUUACACAAUAGUAUGCAUCAAAAGUUAAUGACGGUCCAAUAUCAGAGAUUUUACAAACUCCUGAAAACACCAAUCAGAUGUUGUCUGGGAUUAUUUCCCCCACAACACAGAACAGCACCUCCUUCAUUAGCAACAUCUGCCUGGAUCCAGCCGCUCCAACACAAACACAACGUCCAGGAAUCAAGCCCCGCAGCACGCAUAAUCAGCACUUGCAACACAACUCGGCUCUUGUCAACCGGCCCGACCUGCUGA
ensembl:lncRNA